UACGAAGGGGGCUAGCGUUGCUCGGAAUUACUGGGCGUAAAGGGCGCGUAGGCGGAUAGUUUAGUUGGGGGUGAAAGCCCGGGGCUCAACCUCGGAACUGCCUUCAAUACUGGCUAUCUUGAGUACGGGAGAGGUGUGUGGAACUCCGAGUGUAGAGGUGAAAUUCGUAGAUAUUCGGAAGAACACCAGUGGCGAAGGCGACACACUGGCCCGUUACUGACGCUGAGGCGCGAAAGCGUGGGGAGCAAACAGG
rnacentral:rRNA from 1 species